UACGUAGGUGGCAAGCGUUGUCCGGAAUUAUUGGGCGUAAAGAGCUCGUAGGCGGCUCAGUAAGUCGGCUGUGAAAGCCCGAGGCUCAACCUCGGAAAUGCAGUCGAUACUGCUGUGGCUAGAGUCCGGUAGAGGAGAGUGGAAUUCCCGGUGUAGCGGUGGAAUGCGCAGAUAUCGGGAGGAACACCAGUAGCGAAGGCGGUUCUCUGGGCCAGUACUGACGCUGAGGAGCGAAAGCGUGGGUAGCAAACAGG
rnacentral:misc_RNA from 1 species